rnacentral:rRNA from 1 species
UGGGGAAUAUUGCGCAAUGGGGGGAACCCUGACGCAGCAACGCCGCGUGCAGGAAGAAGGUCUUCGGAUUGUAAACUGUUGUCGCAAGGGAAGAAGACAGUGACGGUACCUUGUGAGAAAGUCACGGCUAACUACGUGCCAGCAGCCGCGGUAAUACGUAGGGGGCAAGCGUUAUCCGGAUUUACUGGGUGUAAAGGGAGCGUAGACGGAGCAGCAAGUCUGAUGUGAAAGGCAGGGGCUCAACCCCUGGACUGCAUUGGAAACUGUUGAUCUUGAGUACCGGAGGGGUAAGCGGAAUUCCUAGUGUAGCGGUGAAAUGCGUAGAUAUUAGGAGGAACACCAGUGGCGAAGGCGGCUUACUGGACGGUAACUGACGUUGAGGCUCGAAAGCGUGGGGAGCAAACAGGAUUAGAUACC